rnacentral:rRNA from 1 species
AAUGAACGCUGGCGGCGUGCUUAACACAUGCAAGUCGCACGGGCAGGGGCGAACCCUGUCAGUGGCGGACGGGUGAGUAACGCGUAGGUAUCUAUCCUUGGGUGGGGGACAACGGUUGGGAAACGACCGCUAAUACCGCAUGAUAACUGAGGUUUAAAGGCGCAAGUCGCCGUGAGGAGGAGCCUGCGUACGAUUAGCUAGUUGGUGGGGUAAAGGCCUACCAAGGCUGUGAUCGUUAGCUGGUCUGAGAGGAUGAUCAGCCACAUUGGGACUGAGACACGGCCCAAACUCCUACGGGAGGCAGCAGUGGGGAAUAUUGGACAAUGGGCGGCUAAGCCUGAUCCAGCAAUGCCGCGUGUGUGAAGAAGGUCUUCGGA